rnacentral:lncRNA from 1 species
GACAACAGGAGCUGGGAAUGUUUCCUCUGGGGACCCUGAACCCCUUCCUGUGCUCCUGCCGUUCCCCAUGGAAACCACGGGCACACAGACAGCACCAAAAUAUUUUGGGAGGCUUUAAGAGAAGAUGUGCAGAGUGAGAGUGAGCUCCACAAGCCCAGAUCGAUUGGAAUUCAACCAUCUUGGGAGCAGAGCAGGGAGGUUCCAGCUGCUGGAAAUUACACACAGCUCCUUUCAUUUCCACACAUUUUUCCUGCCUAAUUGGAGCGAGGUGAGAGCUCGGGAAGGAGCCGGACACGAUCCCUCCAUGACUCAUUCCUGAGGGAGGGAGGGAAGGAGGGACACAGGGACACUCCCUGGGGAACCAUUGCACCAGUCUGCUCUUACUGGGCACUGAAGGAGGAACCUGUUAUCUCCAGGCACCCACAGAUGUCAUUUGGAUGAGAAUGAGCAGCUGGGCCAGGAACAGAGACAGGAAGAGGUCAAAGUGUGCAGGACGUGAGGACACUUCUUGCUCAGCCACUUCUCAGUGUGGGAGCCAAUUCCAUGAGCAUUCCCAGCUAAUUGCAGGCAACAAAUGGGGAAGCACGGGCAGGACUUUGGGAACGGCACCAGCAGGAGCGAUGGAACUUCCACAGUCAACCCAGAAAGCUGCAAAAUGAUCAUAACAAUUAUUGAUUAUGAUUGACACAUUCUGGAAAGCAUUGAUCAGAGCCAUUCCUGGGCUCCCACCCUGUGUAUAGAGCAGGAAUAUCCUCACAGGAGCCUGGAGCAUCAGGAUGAGCUCCUGGCUGGAUGUCACACCCCAAAUCCCUUUCCUGGGCUUCCUCCAUGUCCCUCCCUGCUCUGUAUGAUCCUCCCAAAUGCAGAAUUUGCCUUCAAAGGGAGCUGGAUCCUUAAGGUCCCUCCCAAGCCAAACAAUUCCAUGGUUGGUGAUCCCCAGGGCAGCUUCCCUGAGCCUCCCAGAGUGGUGGGAGCUGCCCCUGCUCACUGGGAUUGCACUGGAUCCCUUUAAAGGUUCCUCCCAACCAAAUCAUGCUGGGUUUUUCCAUAGAACUGGGCUGUAAAUGAAUGGAUUCUUCACAAUAAUAAUAAUUCAAAAACAGUGCAAAUUCCUGCCCCAGAGGCGUGGGAAUAGGUAAAAUGGGCUGGGAAAAGACUGCAGUUAUUGAAAUGGGAAUGGUGCACCCCAAAGUCUCUCCUAUCCUUCUCCCCUCCCCUAUUUAUGGGUUAUUUGGGGAAGAGAAAGUCUUCAAGAUUCCAAAAUAUCCUCCCUGCAUUCAUUUUGUAUUAACAUUCCCAGUAGAUUGAUUUGAUUUUAUUUUUUA